rnacentral:lncRNA from 1 species
AGUCAAAAAAGGAACUUGUGAAAUAACUUAAAAUGUCUUUAAAUAACCAUUCAAACUUAGCCAAUAUGGCAACCUCAAGUCUCAAAAACAUAAGCCAAUAAUAAAGUAGUGACAAAUGAAUUUAACUAACUGACUGGCUGUCUAUGAAGCCUCUAAACAACUGAGAUUGAUGUCGGGACAGGCCCACAACAUCCUAAUGAUCUAAUAAUAAAAUUGAAAGCAAUAAAAGAGAUCCUCCGAAAGCAAGGAGGCUCACCACAAGACUCUGAGUGCUCAAACUGGAUCAACGAGGCGCUAAAUGCUGAUCCUGGUUACAUACGUCUGCAUCAUAAUAAGAUGCAGGCCAACUGACAUCAAUACAUUGAAUGUACGAGUAUGCGAGUUGGAAUGCUAAACACAACUUAAGUUUGAAAGAAUCUGAAAGGAACACUUACCUUGAUUUAACUCCUGAAUAACUUAACUCAAUAUAAAACAAUAAAACAUAUGCAAUAUAUAGAAAGCUUGUAAAAACAGUGCAAACAACUCAGUUUGUUAAAGAAAAUGCAAUAAUAAACUCAAUUCUACUCAUAUAAUAAAGUAAUAUAGUUUCUGUGGGAGAUUCUCUAACCGACAAUCAUCACUAUGAGCCUAAGUAGUGAUACAACGUCUUUUCCACGCUGCCAGAACUAUCCUAUACUUUGUCGUCAUAUAGAACUACUUAACCUAGUGGAUCCACUAGCUUAUGCUAAAAGCAUCUUAAGGAGUCAUCUACAAAGAAUGAUUCUUUACUACCCAUGAUGGCUACUUGGUUUAUGGAGACUUGAGUUAAUAUGAACUCGCAUCCCCCAUAUCGGUGCUCAAUACUACUCCCAAAAAUAUACUUAGCUCAUAUGUUUUUAAAAACAAGCUUCUUUCUUUGGUUUGAGAUAAUUACUCAAAACUUAGCUUAAAAGCUCUCUUGGAAUCGAUGUUCCCUUUCUUGUUCAAAUGUGAAACCAUUUUUAAACUCUUCGGGAAUACAUAGUCCCCAUAUACUUCUUUGAAGAAAUGAACUUCAAUAUUUACUCUUUACUCUUUACUCAACUUGAACUUUAAGUCUUGAAACAAAGUUAAAAUGUUUGUAAGAGACUUUUGAAAGCUUUAAAGAAUUUCUCUUGACUUGCUUCUUAACUUUUAACUUGACUCUUAACUUUCCUUGAAUUGAAUUAUGGAUUCAAGGAUUGUGAUUUGUGAUAGGAAAGAUCUCAUGAUAUUUAGGAAUGAUUUUAGAUAGCUAAACAUGAGAAAAGAUCAAGAAAUUACUAUCUGAGGGUGGGUUCGUGACGCAGAGAAAUAUUUAAAUUUUUGGUUCGAAAACAACUUUUGAGGCAGAACGCUUCGUGACCGCUCCGUGACGCGAAACGAUUUUUCCCAAAUCUGGGGAGCAGGUCCGUGACGCGGAGGCACUGCCCAGUUUUGCCCGACGAAAUUCCUUUUUCGUUUUUCAACUCUAAACCCUCUAAACUCCAUUGGUUCUUUUCCCAAACACUUAGAAUUAUUUAUACCCUCAAACAACAUCAGAUUCUACUCGAAAACACAACUAAAAACGUGAAUCAAUCUCAAGAAAACUCCAACAACACAACCCACAAGGAUACAAACGAACUUCAUCAAGAAUUCAAGGGAUUUACUUUCAAAUCAAUAUACUUUGCUGAAAUUGAAUCAAGUUGGGCGCGUGGGUAGAAAAUCUUACUUCUCUAUGUAUGCUAUGGGAGAUGGUUUGUGUUAGAAAGCAUAUGCUCUAAGGCAUCCAAAUUAUUAGCAUGAAAUAGUUAGAAUGUGAAUUGCUGUUUAACUGAUUUGACUUAACUGGUUUGUAAAUAAAGUAUAUGGAGGUAUAAGCAUAUGAAGGAAUAGACUACUACCAAUGAGGUACAAAAAUAAGAUGUUACAGAAAUACUCUCAUAUGUUGUAGAACUAAGAUAGUGGAUAGGCAUAAGGACCUGAAUAAGUAACUUCAUCUGGAUUUUACUGUCAAUUCAAACAAGCUUCAUUCAUCCAUCACUCUCAUUUUUCCAUGUUUAAGUUACAUGCAUCUGAAAUCUUCUUCCUUGCAGAUAUACUAAUAAAAAAUGAAGCUACAAGAAUCUAGUACUUUACCACUUUUAACUUUGUUCUCACUUAAGCUUUGUUGAUACUGUCUGUCAUUGCAUAGUCUACGAAUAUACAGAUAUUGUCUUGGCCUACUCUUCAUUUUGGGAAUUGGAUCACUGUAAAAUUUCUCUUUUAUGUGUUUAAGAAUGAGAGAGCAGCAGAGGAGCAAAAGAGGUAUGAUGAAAGUGUCUUGUCUUUGGCAGAAGAACAGAAGGUUGUAAGCUCAUUCUGUGUGUUUACUCAAUUUCUGUAGUUAUGUAGUUAGUCUCUGACAUCUUGAGAAUUUUACAUGCAGAAGGCGAAAGAAACUCUCCGUCAGAAGAACAUGGAGUUUCAAAAGAAACUCGACUUAAAGCAAGCGCUAGAGUUGGAGAUUGAACGUCUCACAGGGGCCAAGAAUGUAACUGAACAAAUGUGAGAUGACCAAGAGGUGAAGAAAAAAUUCGACGAGAUCGAAGAGAGCCUAAAUGAGAAAAAAGAAGAACUAGAAGAUCUUGAAGCUUUGAAUCAAGCUCUAGUUGUUAAAGAGCAGCGGGCAAAUGUUGAGUUAACAGAUGCCAGGAAGGAGCUGAUCGAUGUAAGUACAACUCUUUCAAGUUCUGCAAUACCCUUAUCUAUUUUGUGAAUAACACUCAAGUUUCCAUUUUUCCUCCAAUGGAGUAAGAACAUCAGAAUGAUUAGGAGCAGGCUAUAGCACGUUCAAUUCGUUACAUGUUCAGUUUUCGUUCUCAACCUAUUACAAAUUUCAUGCACCAUCAACUGAGCUUCUAUUAUAGUCUAUGUUGUUGAACAUUCAAGUAUUCUUACAAGGUGAAAAUUUUGACAAAUGAAACAUGUUUCAUGGCAUUUCGUUAAUAAAGAAGCACUCUUUUCGAGCUUCCAUUGGUGUCAAGAGAAUGGGAGAACUUGAUAGUACAAGAUUUCGUGAGAUAACCAAGAGCAAAUUUCCUGGAACAGAUGCAGAUUUAAAAGCUACUCAGUUGUGCUCAAUCUGGGCACCUUGUGGAUCCCGAUUGGCAUCCUUUCAAAUAUGUAACAAGAGAAAAUGGUUCCAAGGUAAUAAUGCAAUAUAAUAGACUUAUACUAGUUGUUUUCCAUAUCUUUAUCCCCUUGAAUCAAAAUACUUAGAACUUAAUUAUUCCUUGUGUCUUGGUAGGAAAUCAUCAUUGAUGAUAACGACGAAAGGCUGAACAGGUUGAAACAUGAGUUUGGACAAGCCGCUUAUGAUUUGGUAACUGCUACUUUGAUGGAAAUUAAUGAAGGUCCCAGUGGUAGAUGCAUAACAACAGAGUUGUGGAACUAUAAGCUAGGAAGGAAAGCUACCCUCAAUGAAGGAAUAACUUUUGCUCUCCAGAAGUUAAAGAUCAGUAAAGGGAAGAAGCAGCAUUAACUUUCAUGGUUACAGUUUACGUACCAUCUUUCGAAUGGCAUGUUAUACCUUUUCUCUAUGGUGAUAUCUAUUUUAGACAAAAGAAAUUGAACCAUUUGAAGUAGGUUCCUUCAAAAGAAAAGGAAUCCAAAGCACUUGCUUUAGAGAAUCCAAGAUUGUCUAUGGAUUAGCAAAAGCAAAUGUGCACUUGAGUAGUAGUAGCAUCAAAGUUAUCCAAACUUUCAAACAUUGAAUAGCAUCUAGAAUCUGUUUUUCCAUUUUGAAUUGACAUAUUAUCUCAUUACUUUAGUAUCUGUUUUAGUCCUAAGUAUCUUGAUGAUACAUUGAAGUGAUGAAUGCCUAUAUACAUUGGUUUAGUUUAAACACUAGGUGCGACUAAAUUUUUUUCCAUUUUGAAUGACAUUAUCUCAUUACUUUAGUAUCUGUUUUGGUCCUUCCAAUCUCAAUGAUACAUCGAGGUGAUGAAUGUUGUAUUUGUUGGUUUAGUUUAAACACCAGGUGCGUCUAAGUUUUUUCCAUCGACAUGUGCUUGUCAGGCAAAGUUCAAGCAUUAAAGCUAGACUAGAAAUGAUAUCCAAAGUUCUGCACUUGAGUAAUAUCAAAGUGUAACAUACCAAAAGAAUGUAGAUUUUUUCGAUUAAAGUAAAUUACUGAAAAUACAGUAAGUACACUGCUCAAGCAUCAAGUACUACAAAACAUUAUACUGAUACAAAAAAAAAGGCUAAAAAUGUUAAAAGAGAAAACCCGAAUUCAUUAGGGUCUAAACAAAUAAAAACUCAAAGUACACGAACCAUGUUACAACAAAAAGGAAGAAGAACUUCAGGUCUACAAGGUGUAAACAGUAGGAAAUAGCAGCUGUAAAUUGCUACAGAAAAUUUGAAAGUGAAGAAGGCUGAAGUUUUCUUGAGUACAACUUUUUUUUCACUCGAAGUUUCAUUACAUAUGGUGUAUUUAUAGAUAAAGUGUGAGAAUUACAACCACAUAAUAAGCAAAAUAUCUCAUACCAAACUAUGUACAAAAAUGUGGCUCACUAACCACCACUCAUUUUUAAUCAAGACUAACAUAUCUAUUACAAAAUAUCUCCAACCUAGGAGUUUCUAGACAAAUCUUACUUUUCUAACAUAUCUAAUACAAAAUAUCUCAAAUCUAGGAGUUUCUAGACAAAUCUUAAUUUUCUAACACUCCUCCUUAAGAUUUUUCAUUGAAACUCCUUGCAACAACCUUUGAAACUCAAACUUCUUAGUGGAAAGAGCCUUGGUCAGAAUAUCGGCCUGCUGAUCUUCACUGAUGCAAUGCACCAACUUAACUUCACCAUUCUUCUCGGCAUCUCUUAAAGCAUGAAACCUUAUGUUGAUGUGCUUUGUUCUUCCAUGCUGCCCUGGAUUUUGAGCCAUCACAAUGGCUGAUUUAUUGUCCACAUAGAUCACUGUUGGUUCUUUUGGCAACAAAUUCAAUUCCAACAAGAUCUUUCUUAACCAAAUUGCUUGAUUUGUAGCAGAUGCAGCAGCCACAUACUUGGCUUCUGUUGAAGAUUGUGCGACAAUAUCUUGCUUCUUUGUGCUCAAAGAAAAAAUGCCUGAACCAAACGAAAAACAGUAACCAGAAGUGCUUUUGUAAUCAUCCAAACAUCCACCCCAAUCACUAUCUGAAUAGCCAAUAAGAGCUCCAUUCUCCACAUUUCUAUACCAGAUUCCAUAAUUAAUCGUCCCUCUAAUGUACCUUAACACCCUUUUAGCGGCUCCAAAAAUGCUUAGUGCUGGGACUUUGCAUAUAUCGAGAUAACAAACUGACAACGAACAUUAUGUCUGGCCUAGAAGCUAUUAGAUACAAUAGACUUCCAAUUAGACUUCUAUAAACUUUUUGGAUCUGCCCUCUCUUCGUCAUCAUCCUUCAUUAAUUUUUCAUUCACAACAAGUGGAGUUGCAACAACUUUGCACUUGUCAAGCUUGAACCUUUUAACAGAUUCAAGGCAUACCUCUUUUGGGAACAAGAAAAUUCCUUCACAAGAUUGAGAUAUCUCCAUUCCCAGGAAAAACUUCAUUUCUCCUAGAUCAGACAUCUCAAAAACAUUUAGCAUUUCAUUUUUAACUUCUUGAACCGCAAGAGGAUUUUCACUUGUAAUCAUCAAAUCAUCGACAUAAACUGAUAUCAUAAUCAACAUCCCAUCCGCUUGCCUUUUGGAGUACAAAUUAGGCUUAUUUAGGCUUCUGUUGAAGCCUUGAGACAGCAAAUGAGAAUCCAACCUACUAUACCAAGCUCUUGGGGAUUGUUUAAGACCAUAGAGAUCCCUUUUAAGCUUGUACACCUUGUCUUCUUCACCUGCAACUGUAAAACCUUCAGGUUGUUCAACAUAAAUGUCUUCCUCAAGCAAUCCGUUGAGAAAUGCAGAUUUUACAUCCAAAUGGAAGAUUUUCCACUAGUAUUGUGCUGCGAGAGCGACUAGAAAUCUUACUGUCUCAUGCUGCGCAACAGGAGAAAACGUUUCUCCAAAGUUCACUCCAGGAUGCUGAGAAUAACCUUAAACUACAAGUCUAGCUUUAUUCUUGAAGAUGGAGCCAUCUGGAUUGAACUUUUUUUGAUAGACCCAUUUGACACCGAUAACAUUCUUCUCUACUGGCCUAUCAACCAACUCCCAAGUAUCAUUUUUAUUAAUCAUGGCAAGUUCCUCCUCCAUUGCUGAAAUCCACACUUUGUGGUUUGCUGCUUCUUCAAAUGAGGAUGGUUCAACAAGAGUAAAAUUGCAUUGCUCAUAAACUUCUGCUAGUGAUUUGGUCUUCAAAACAUGAGAGUCUGUAGUCAAUUGAACAUCUAUUGAACAUCUGAAUUGUUUUUUGUUCCAUCAAUAGGACUAGAGAGAGUAUCACCUUUUUGCUGAUUAGGAGUUGCAGCUGAAGUACUCCCACCUUGGUUCUUCACAACAAUAUCUCGAUCCUAAUCAUAGUGGAUAGACUCAUCCACUGCAAGAUCUCUACUAACAAACACCUUCUUACUACUAACAUUGUACACUUUGUAUCCUUUUGCAACUGUACUAUAGCCCAAUAGAACACACAGUUCUGCCUUGCUAUCUAAUUUACCUUUUUUAGCAUCAGGAACAUGUGCAUAGCAUACCGAACGAAAUACAUUCAAGUGUCUCGUAGACUACUUGAUACCCUUCCAUGCUUCAAAUGGUGUCAUGUCUUGGACUGCUCUAGUUGGUAAUCUAUUUAGCAAAUAGACAGCGGUAUUGACUGCUUCAGCCCAAAAGUAUUUAGGCAUCUUCUUUUCUGCCAACAUGCAUCUCGCCAUCUCCAUCACAGUUCUGUUCUUCCUCUCAGAAACCCCGUUCUGCUGUGGAGUGUAGCUAACAAUGAAUUGUUAUUGGAUACCCAAAUCUUUACAAUACUUGCUGAACUGAUACAAAGUAUAUUCAGUUCCAUUAUCGGAAUAUACUUCCAUUUACAGCCACUCAUCCUUUCUACCAUAACUUUGAAUUAUUUGAAAACAGAAAACACUUGAUAUUUGCUACUAAGAAAGUAGACCCAUGUCAUUCGAGUCAGAUCAUCUACAAAGAGAACAAAAUACUUGUUUCCACUCAAAGAAACCGUCCUCAUUGGUCCACAUAAAUCUGUAUGAACCAACUCUAGCUUUUCCUUAGCUCUCCAAAGACUUCCUUUAGGAAAGGAUCGUCUAUGCAUUUUACCAAAUUGACAUGACUCACAAACAUCUCUACACAUGUCAAUUUUGGGUACUUCAAGCACCAUACCCUUUGAUUGCAUAUACAUCAGUGAGCAAAGAUUAUAAUGACUGAACCUUUUGUGCCAAAGCCAAGUAUCGCUCAAUUCAACACUAAUAGAGCUAGUAUCAAUAAAAUAGCAUGAAAUUAGAAAGGAAUUGUCAAUCAUGCUAAUUUUAGCUACUUCACAUCCUUUAGGAUCAUAAAUGUCACAUUGUUUGUCCUUAAAAUUAAGAGAAUAAUUUUUAUGAAGCAAUUGAGAAACACUUAACAAGUUUUGAGUCAAAUUUGGCACAUAAAGAACAUCAUUAAUAAUUUUCGUACCUUCGUCAGUAGGAAAUUUUACUGACCCUCUACCGUGAGCUUCCACCAAUGCGCCAUUUCCAAGUUUCACUUUGGUUCUAUCAGAUCUGUCCAAGGUAACAAACAUAUUUUCAUCAAUCGCCAUGUGCCUUGUGCACGCGCUAUCAACAUACCAUUUACAUUGGUCAUUAUGUGAUGUGUGCGAGGCCAUGAAAACCUCCUCCUCUGAUUUUCCAACUUGGUGAUGAUCUGUGAAAUUCACUCGAUGGGAAGACUGGCCACUUUGAUUUUGCUUUUGCCUACAAUACUUCUCAAUGUGACCAUACUUCUUACAAUAUCUACAUUGAAUUGGAGACCUCUUUGAAUUCUGCCAACAAUUCUUCUCUAAGUGGUUUGUCUUCUUACAAAUGCCACAUGGUGGAAAUUUUCCUUUUAUCGACAAAUCACCUUGGUUUCCACCAGAUUUAUCCAACCAGACUUUUCUACUUUCCUUUUGAUGUUUGCAUUUAUGCCUCGCUUGAAAGGCAUCUUUUACUAUCCCUUCACUUCUCAUAGUGACCCGUUGCUCUUGGACUUGCAAUUUGGAGAUUAGUUCGGCUAUUGUAAGAGUAGUCAAGUCACAAGACUCUUCAAUAGCUGAGAUUUUUGAUUCAAACUUGUCUAGAAGGCUAACCAAGAUCUUCUCUACAAUUUUCUGAUCUGGAAAGGUUUCACCAAGUAUUCUUAUCUGGUUCACAAUCUCCAUCAGCUUUGAAGAGUAUUCUUUCACACUAACUGAGUCUUCAAUCUUCAAAAGCUCAAACUCUCUCUUCAAUGCUAAGAGUCUAACAGACUUUACUCUAUUGCAGCCUUCAAACUCCUCCUUUAACUUAUCCCAAGCCUCUUUGGCUGUUUCACAAGUCAUAUUCCUCGUAAACAUCACGUCCGUAAGACUUGAAUGUAUGCAGGUGAGAGCUCGUGGGGAUCUAGUCACCAACUCAUCGUACUUCUUAAUUUCAUUGAGAGUUGCAUUAACUCUCAAUGGCUGGACAACAGGUUCUCCAAGCUCAACAACUUCCAGAAGUUGAGAGCCUUUAGAUAAGCCUUCAUUUUGAUGGCCCAUAUGUGAUAAUUCUCUCCGGUAAAAGUUGGAGGACCUGUCGUUGGUUGAUUUUCAGGUGCCAUGAAUUUUUUUCAGCAAGCAAAUUCAAGAAAGAACAUAAUGUAGAUGAGCGAAACAAACAAAAUUUGAUUCAGAUCCCUUAGGAAAUAGGCUCUGAUACCAUGUUACAAAGAAAGGGAAGAAGAACUUUUGGUCUACAAGGUGUAAGCAAUAGGAAAUCGCAGCUGUAAAUUGCUAGAAAAAAUCUGAAAGUGAAGAAGAAGGCUUAAGUUAUCUUGAGAUCAAUUUUUUUCACUAGAUGUUUCAUUACAUAUGGUGUCGAUGUUUUAUUACAUAUGGUGUAUUUAUAGAUAAAGUGUGAGAAUUACAACCACAUAAUAAGCAAAAUAUCUCAGACCAAACUAUGUACCUAUGUGGCUCAAUAACCACCACUCAUUUUUAAUCAAGACUAACAUAUCUAUUACAAAAUAUCUCCAACCUAGGAGUUUCUAGACAAUUCUUACUUUUCUAACAUAUCUAAUACAAAAUAUCUCCAACUUAGGAGUUUCUAGACAAAUCUUACUUUUCUAAUAUAUCUAAUACAAAAUAUCUCCAAUCUAGGAGUUUCUAGACAAAUCUUAAUUUUCUAGGGGGAAUAUUUUGAUGGUAAACUCCUUACCAAGUAUCAACCAUGCCUACUCUUUGAUUUUGCAAGAUGAGAAUCAGAGAGAUACUUAUCUCAGUCCUCAUCUUUCAUCUGAUUCCUCUUUUUCUUUCAUGGUGGGUAAUACCAAUCAAUACAAACAUGGAAAGCAGGCACAAAGGUAUCCAGCACCUUCACAAAGAUCUGGGAUCUCACAAUCAAGAAAAUCACUUUCCAAGAGCCACAAAGGUUCCAGAAACAACAAAAUCAAUUUCAGAAAUUCAAAGGAAAAAGGGCCAAGUAUGAUCCUAAUGUUACCUGUACAUAUUGUGGAAAAACAGGCCAUGUAGUGGAUAGUUGUUUUAGAAAAAUAGGUUUUCCAGAAAACUUUGUGUUCACAAAUGAUAAAGGAAUGCAGGGACAGAUUAGGGGAAAUUGAGCAUUGAUUACUGAAGACAAUGAAGGAAGAAACAAUGAUCAAACAUAUGUCACAAAUGUUGCUCACAAUUACAACAAAGAACAAUACAAUUAAUUUCUUCAUAUGUUUAGACAAAUGAAAAUGGAGGAGGCAUCACAGAAAAACACAGGCUCUGAGAUCAACAGUAAUGUUGUGGCUGGUACAAUUUCAAAGUAUCUUGGAUCCUGUUUUUCUGCUAUUCAUUCUAGCACCUGGAUCAUCGAUUCAGGUGCAUCUGAACAUGUGUUAUAAUCCCCAAUGUUUUACCUCCAUGCCCCCUCUUCAAUUCCCCUUGACCAUUAAUCUUCCUAAUUGUCAAACCAUUCAAGUCACUCAUUCAGGAACUGUGCCUAUAUUUUCUAAUAUCAUUUUACAAAACGUUUUGUAUGUUCCCAGUUUCAAGUUCAAUCUCAUGUCUGUUUAUAAAUUCUGUGUUCAAUUUCCUUACACACUAUUUUUUACAUCACAUGAAUGAGUGUUUCAGGACUCUUCAAUGAGGAGGGGUCAAGUUUUUGGUGAAGCCAAGGAGGGUCUCUACUUGCUACAACCCAGUCCUCAGAAGUGUAGUUCUUUUUUUAGCAAUAGUGUUUCAGUUUCACCACAUACUAUAUUUAGUGGAUCUAGUCCUUUAUCUUUACCCCAGUUCUUAUUGAAUCAGUUUCAGUUUCUCAUUCUGUAUAUACAAGUGCAACUUCUAAUGUAAAAUUGUGGCACAUUAGAUUGGGGCAUUUGCCUUACUCUUCAAUGAAAAAUGUUAGUUUCCUUUCUUUUCCGAGUAAUUAUGACUGUGUUUGUGAUGUGUGUCCUAAAGCUAGGCAAUCCAGGCUACCCUUUCCCAUUAGUCAAAUUUCUAGCAAAUCUGUUUUUGAUCUUAUCCAUGUUGAUACUUGGGGACCUUAUAAAGUAGCUACUCAUAAUCAUUAUAGGUAUUUUUUUGACUAUUGUUGAUGAUUUUAGUAGAGCUACUUGGACUUGUUGGCUACAAAGAGCAAUGCAUUCACAGUCUUGCAAAGUUAUUUACAAAUGGUGGAAAGACAGUUCAAUGCGAAGGUUAAAGUCAUUAGAUUGGAUAAUGCCUUAGAACUAGGAAAGAGUGAAGCGGGUUCUCAAUUCUUUAGUUCUCAUGGGAUUAUGCAUCAGACCUCUUGUGUGGCCACUCCACAACAAAAUGGGAUAGUGGAGAGAAAAUACAGACACUUACUAGAGCUUGCAAGGGCUUUAAUAUUUCAAUCUCAUGUUUCUAUCGUUUACUGGGGAGAGUCCAUCCUUACAACCACUUAUUUGAUUAACAGGUUACCUUCUAAGGUGCUCAAAGGAAAAACACCUUAUGACAUCAUAUUCGGGAAGUGACCAUCUUAUCAUACUUUGAAGUGUUUUGGAUGUUUAUGCUAUGCUAACACUUUAACUCAUGGCAGGGAUAAGUUUCAACCUAGAGCUAUGAAGUGUGUUUUCCUAGGUUAUCCUAGUGAUAAAAAAAAGGUACAAGUUACUGAAUCUUGAAAAUAAAAGGAUAUUUGUAUCCAGAGAUGUUCAUUUCUUUGAGCAUAUUUUUCCCUUUGUGGAUAAAUCUGAUGACAUUCCUUCUUCUAUAUUUCCAGAUUAUGCAAUUUAUCUACUGAUCAGCCUGAUUCUCAAACUGAUCUCAUUCCUCAUACCAUUCCAUCUACUAGUUCCUCUUCUUCACCAGAUCAUCCAUUCACUUCAUCAUCACCUGAUUCAACUCAUACUCAGAUUUCCCCUUGGUUCAACUCACUCUCAUAUUUCAUACCUUGAUUCUUCCAUUAAUAAUCCCAGAAGAUCUCACAGAAUAAAGAAACUUUACCGUCACAUCUUCAAGAUUAUUAUUGCAACACCAUUUUUUCAGUGAUGUGACAAACUCCUAUUUUGACACUCCUACUAAACCUAGUGUUAUUUCUUUUCAUGCUCUUUCUCUUUCUAAUAAAUCCAUCGUACAAUCAGUUUCUACAAUCACUGAGCCCACCAGUUAUAAAGAAGCUUUUACUCAUCCAGGUUGGAGGAAGGCUAUGGAUGAUGAAAUGGAGGCUUUACAAGCAAAUCAUACAUGGGUCUUAGUUGCUUUACUUCCGGGUAGACAAGCUUUACCUUGCAAGUGGGUUUACAAGGUGAAGCAACAUGCUGAUUGGAUACUUGAGAGGCUGAAAGCAAGGUUGGUGAUCAGGGGUGAUAUAAAGAAAGAGGGGAUAGAUUUCAAUAAGACUUUUUCCCCGGUGGUCAAAAUGACCACUAUCAGAUGUUUGCUAGCCAAUGCAGCCAAGAAGAAUUGGGAAAUUUCUCAAUUUGAUGUAAACAAUGCCUUCUUGCAAGAAGAUUUGCAAGAAGAAGUUUACAUGAAGUUCCCAAUUUGUGUUGAUCCUCCUAAAGCUAGUUUGGUUUGUAAGUUACAAAAGAUUUUAUAUGGUCUCAAGCAAGCCUCUAGGCAAUGGUAUGCCAGACUUGCAGGGGCCCUCAAUUUCAAAGGUUUUAUUGCCUCUUUGAUUGAUUAUUCUCUUUUCUUUAAGAAAGUAGGGGAUACUAUUGCUACUGUGGUUGUUUAUGUGAUGAUAUAUUGAUAACUGGAGAUGCUUACACUGUGAUAGAGGAUCUAAAAGUCUUUCUUAAUUCAGAAUUUAAGAUCAAGAGUCUUGGGUCCCUGCAUUACUUUCUUGGUAAGGGACAAUCAUGGUUUGAUAGUCAGUCAAAAGAAAUAUACCUCUGAUUUGUUGUGCGAAUUUGAUGUCUCACAUCUUCCUCCAAUUGCCUCUCCAUUGGAUCCUGCAGUGAAAUUUGUCACAGAAUUAGUAGAGUAUAUGGAAGAACAACCUUAUAUCAGCACAUCAUUGGUAAGUUAAAUUACUUAACUCAUACACGACCGAAUAUAUGUCAUGCAGUUUUGAUUCUCGGUCAAUUUAUGCAAAAACCAAGUCUUGAUCACUAUCAUGGAGCUUUGAGGGUUGUAAGUUACCUGAAACAGUAUCCGCAUCAGGGUCUAUUCUUUUCUUCUUCUCCAUCCUUUUCCCUUAAUGCUUUUUGUGAUGCGGAUUGGGCUUCGUGUAGAGACUCACUGAGAUCUAUCAGUGGUUUAUUCAUUAGUUUAGGGGGUUCCCCCAUUUCUUGGAAGUCCAAUAAACAUAUCUCUAUAUCCCUCUCUUCCACAGAGGCAGAGUAUCGAUCUAUGCGUCGAUUGGUAGUUGAAUUAACCUGACUUACUCUAUUACUAGAUGAUCUCUCUGUUCUGCCUCAACUUCUUGUACCUGUGCGGACGAAGCACGUUGAGUUGGAUUGUCAUUUUGUCCGUCAACAGUACUUGUUAGGGCUCAUUUCCCUAUCUUUUGUUCCUUCCAAAGAGCAACUCGCUGACAUAUUCACUAAGCCUCUUUAUGGCCCGCAACAUCAUGGAGUUCUAUGCAAGUAAGGGUCUCACUCCGCUCCCCUCCACCUUGAGGGGGAUGUUGGAAUUCAACCUUCUUCUACACCAUCUUCUCAACCAUUUAUAGCAUGUUCUAAUUUCACCAGAGAGAAGAUGAAGAUGUCUGAUGAUGUCUUGUUUGAGAAAAGCAAAUGGGCCAAGAGUGAUAUUGGGUCGCAGAAGAAGGCAC